UACGGAGGGUGCAAGCGUUAUCCGGAUUCACUGGGGUUAAAGGGUGCGUAGGUGGGCUGGUAAGUCAGUGGUGAAAUCUCCAGGGUUAACUUGGAUACUGCCAUUGAUACUAUUAGUCUUGAAUACCGUGGAGGUCAGCGGAAUAUGUCAUGUAGCGGUGAAAUGCUUAGAUAUGACAUAGAACACCAAUUGCGAAGGCAGCUGGCUACACGAAUAUUGACACUGAUGCACGAAAGCGUGGGGAUCAAACAGG
rnacentral:rRNA from 1 species